UACGUAGGGUGCGAGCGUUGUCCGGAAUUAUUGGGCGUAAAGAGCUCGUAGGCGGUUUGUUGCGUCUAUCGUGAAAACCUGCAGCUUAACUGUGGGCUUGCGGUGGAUACGGGCAGACUUGAGUUCGGUAGGGGAGACUGGAAUUCCUGGUGUAGCGGUGAAAUGCGCAGAUAUCAGGAGGAACACCGGUGGCGAGGGCGGGUCUCUGGGCCGAUACUGACGCUGAGGAGCGAAAGCGUGGGGAGCGAACAGG
rnacentral:rRNA from 1 species